AUUGAACGCUGGCGGCAGGCUUAACACAUGCAAGUCGAGCGGAGUGAUGGUGCUUGCACUAUCACUUAGCGGCGGACGGGUGAGUAAUGCUUAGGAAUCUGCCUAUUAGUGGGGGACAACAUCUCGAAAGGGAUGCUAAUACCGCAUACGUCCUACGGGAGAAAGCAGGGGAUCACUUGUGACCUUGCGCUAAUAGAUGAGCCUAAGUCGGAUUAGCUAGUUGGUGGGGUAAAGGCCUACCAAGGCGACGAUCUGUAGCGGGUCUGAGAGGAUGAUCCGCCACACUGGGGCUGAAACACGGGCCAGACUCCUACGGGAGGCAGCAGUGGUGAAUAUUGGACAAUGGGGAACCCUGAUCCAGCCAUGCCGCGUGUGUGAAGAAGGCCUUAUGGUUGUAAAGCACUUUAAGCGAGGAGGAGGCUCUUUUGGUUAAUACCCAAGAUGAGUGGACGUUACUCGCAGAAUAAGCACCGGCUAACUCUGUGCCAGCCGCCGCUGUAA
rnacentral:rRNA from 1 species